AUUGACCUCNGAUCAAGUGAGGAUACCCC
rnacentral:rRNA from 1 species